rnacentral:rRNA from 1 species
CCCCACGACUCGGCCGCGUCGACGGCAGUGGCUCAACCAUUGUAUGCAUUGGAAACUGGUAGACUUGAGUGCAGGAGAGGAGAGUGGAAUUCCAUGUGUAGCGGUGAAAUGCGUAGAUAUAUGGAGGAACACCGGUGGCGAAAGCGGCUCUCUGGCCUGUAACUGACACUGAGAUUCGAAAGCGUGGGUAGCAAACAGGAUUAGAUACCCUGGUAGUCCACGCCGUAAACGAUGUCUACUAGCCGUUGGGGUCCUUGAGACUUUAGUGGCGCAGUUAACGCGAUAAGUAGACCGCCUGGGGAGUACGGCCGCAAGGUUAAAACUCAAAUGAAUUGACGGGGGCCCGCACAAGCGGUGGAGCAUGUGGUUUAAUUCGAUGCAACGCGAAGAACCUUACCUGGUCUUGACAUAGUGAGAAUCUCUCAGAGAUGAGAGAGUGCCUUCGGGAACUCACAUACAGGUGCUGCAUGGCUGUCGUCAGCUCGUGUCGUG